UGGGAAUUUUGGACAAUGGGGGCAACCCUGAUCCAGCAAUGCCGCGUGUGUGAAGAAGGCCUUCGGGUUGUAAAGCACUUUUGUCCGGAAAGAAAACGCCGUGGUUAAUACCCGUGGCGGAUGACGGUACCGGAAGAAUAAGCACCGGCUAACUACGUGCCAGCAGCCGCGGUAAUACGUAGGGUGCAAGCGUUAAUCGGAAUUACUGGGCGUAAAGCGUGCGCAGGCGGUCCGCUAAGACAGAUGUGAAAUCCCCGGGCUUAACCUGGGAACUGCAUUUGUGACUGGCGGGCUAGAGUAUGGCAGAGGGGGGUAGAAUUCCACGUGUAGCAGUGAAAUGCGUAGAGAUGUGGAGGAAUACCGAUGGCGAAGGCAGCCCCCUGGGCCAAUACUGACGC
rnacentral:rRNA from 1 species